AACGAACGCUGGCGGCAGGCCUAACACAUGCAAGUCGAACGCCCUAGCAAUAGGGAGUGGCAGACGGGUGAGUAACACGUGGGAACCUUCCCUAUAGUACGGAAUAGCCCAGGGAAACUUGGAGUAAUACCGUAUACGCCCGAGAGGGGAAAGAUUUAUCGCUAUAGGAUGGGCCCGCGUCGGAUUAGCUAGUUGGUGAGGUAACGGCUCACCAAGGCAACGAUCCGUAGCUGGUUUGAGAGAAUGACCAGCCACACUGGGACUGAGACACGGCCCAUACUCCUACGGGAGGCGGCAGUGGGGAAUUUUGGACAAUGGGCGCAAGCCUGAUCCAGCCAUGCCGCGUGAGUGAUGAAGGCCUUAGGGUUGUAAAGCUCUUUUGCCGGGGACGAUAAUGACGGUACCCGGAGAAUAAGUCCCGGCUAACUUCGUGCCAGCAGCCGCCGUAA
rnacentral:rRNA from 1 species